CCUGCUGUUAUGCUAAAGAGACUGGCGUAUACAGUUCCUGGUUAUGGAUAUGCUGUUUCAUGAUGAUUUCUGCUUCUCUGGGCAGGUAGGACCAGCUUGAAGCCAUUCCAUUUCUACGUUCAUUGGUCUGUGGUCUAGAAAUAUAUCUGUUAAGCCAACUGCCAGGCUCUGUAACAGCAUCCCACAUGACCUGAUGCCCUGCAGAUACUUUGGACCCCACCCCCCAAUUUCCCUGGCUAAAUACUGGCUAAAGCCAAUGGGAGAUAUAGUCUGAAACACCUGCAGUAGUGGGUAGAGUGCUAGACUAGGAUUUGGGAGACCAGGGUUCAAAUCCCCAUUCAGCCAUUAAACCUACAGGGAGAUUACAGGAUUGAUGUGGGGUUUAAAUGUGGAGGAGAAAGAACCAUGUAUGCCACCAUGAGCUCCUUGAAGAAAAAGGUGAGAUAUAGAUGCAGUAAAUAAAAUAAUACUCUAGAGUUUGCCACUUACAGCAUAUAUGUGUUAAGGCACAGAAUGCAUACCAAACCCCAAGAGCUAAAUUAAAAGGUGUUUUCUUUAAAAAUAAUAAUUCUGAAAUGUGAAGUAUUCUAUAUUACAAUGAGACAUGAUGAGCUAUAAUGAGAUUAUGAUGAGAUAUUGUAAUUAAUUAGACCCACCCUUGCCAGGUGUGAAAAUAGAUUGCUGGAGUGGGUCAAACCAGUUGGACAAGUUUAGCCUGGCUUUCAUUAGGAGGCUUGAACUCCACAUAGGAUUUAUUCUUUCCAGCGUGUGAAGCUAUGGGCUAACUUUUUAAUUGGCCGUGCUGUUGGGGGACAGAUAAAAUUGCUUUGUGGGCUGGAUCCAGCAUGCGGCCUGCCAGUUGGCUAUCCUUGUGCGAGAAGAUUGUGAACUUGAUUGCUGUUAAAUGUAGUAGCUGCUUUGAGUGUUUACUCAUAUGCACAAAGCCCUAAUGUAAGUGCUGCAUGAUUGGGAUUCCGUCCCAUAUAUAUAUAUAUAUAUAUAUAUAUAUAUAUAUAUAUGCAUUGAUUUCUUAGAAUUAUGUUUAUUUAUUAAAUUUGUACCCCACCCUUCCUCCCAAGGAGCCAAGAGCAGCAAACAACAAAUGAUACAACACAAAAAAAAGUCUUAAAAACAAUUCCAGGACAAUUGCAGACUGGGUAAGAUCUCAAGGCUUGUUGAAAGAGGAAGGCUUUCAGCAGGAGUCCAGAAGACAACAGAUUUGGACAGAAUAACUUUGGAAUAACAUUUUUUUAAAAACACAGAAGCAUUUCUGCUAAGUAUUGUUGGUAAAGAUAUCCCGAAAAACUUAAGAGAAAUAUUUUUAUAUGCCACGGCGGCGGUCCGAACACUAGUAGCAAAAAAUUGGAAAGGGGGAAAUGUUCCGACUUUAAUGGAGUGGCAGAAUAAGCUAUAAGAAUAUGUGGAAACGGCACAACUGACCAACAGUUUAAGGGGUUAUUCAAGACAAGAAUUUGGAAAAAAAAUGGGACAAAUAUAAGAGAUAUGUGCAAAAAUAUGCCAAUGGUUUAUUGUCUAUGGCAGCACUGACCUUGGAUAAAGAAACAUAUGAGAAAUAAGAUCAAUGGUACAAAUUGUUGUAAGAAUGUAUUAGAGAUUAUAUAAAGAAUAGAGUAAUAAUGGUAGGUACAUUCACUAUCAAAAUAAAAUUAUACAACGGGAAUUGACAGUCCAAAGUCCUUAGGAUAUUUUUUGUUAAUAAUUUUUGAUAAGGAUUUUUGUUAAUAAUUGCAUAAAAGGUAACAUAAGUACAGCAGAAGUUCAAGGUUUACAUAUACCGUAUUUUUCGCUCUAUAACACGCACCCGACCAUAACACGCAUAUAGUUUUUAGAGGAGGAAAAGAAGAAAAAAAAUAUUCUAAACGAAACAGCG